CAGGGAGACAAACUUGAUUGUGAUGUCUAAAUGAUUAAUUUUUAGGCCAUAAUCCUGUCACCUUAGGUCGAUCGGUACCUCAGUUUGAUAUCUGGAAACUGAGAAAUUAGUUGCUUUAAAAGUUAUUGAAUUCAGUUCCUAAGCUUUGUCUAGGUCACACCCAGCAAGGGUACUCCUGGGCCAUUAGCUCAGGUGGUUAGAGCGCACCCCUGAUAAGGGUGAGGUCCCUGGUUCAAGUCCAGGAUGGCCCAUUCGGUGUUGGGGGUAUAGCUCAGUUGGUAGAGCGCCUGCUUUGCAAGCAGGAUGUCAGCGGUUCGAGUCCGCUUACCUCCACUGAACCCCUCCUUACAGCGAAAUUUAAGGAGAUUUUGCUUAAUGUGAUCUAGAUCAGUUCUGAUUGAAUGAACCUAGCUUCUUGUCAAUAAGGUCAAUGUAUUAAUUGCUUUGAUUGAUAGGACGCUGGGCUCACUGCAAUGAAUAUUGCAGUGUUCUUCAGUAGAACCUUGACAACUGCAUAGGUAAGUCUGGAAAAAAUAAAGCAUCUCAUAGAUGCAUUAUUUGAGACAUGAUUAAAUUUCUAAGUUUUUAGAAUUUUCUCUUGAUUUCAAUUUAAUGUUUAAUUCUUGAGCAAGAGCCGAGACUCUAUGAUUUCCUUUCAUUGAAUAAAAUUCAAUGCGAGUUAGAUAUUUAGUUUCUCACUUUAUACGGUGAUUUAAUUAAAUAGAAAGUGUUUUAAUCACUAGAUUUUAUAGAGAUUAAU
rnacentral:tRNA from 1 species